rfam:Eikenella corrodens ATCC 23834 Scfld2 genomic scaffold, whole genome shotgun sequence.
CGGCUCGGCCAGCUUGUCCGGCCGCAAGGCUAUAUUUUUGGAGUUUUAUUAUGGCAUUAACCGUAGAACAAAAAGCGCAAAUCAUCAAAGAUUUCCAGCGCAAAGAA